rnacentral:rRNA from 1 species
GACGAACGCUGGCGGCGUGCCUAAUACAUGCAAGUCGAGCGGAGUUAUUCCUUCGGGGAUGACUUAGCGGCGGACGGGUGAGUAACACGUAGGCAACCUGCCUGUAAGACUGGGAUAACUACCGGAAACGGUAGCUAAGACCGGAUACACAACUUGGUCGCAUGACUAAGUUGGGAAAGGCGGAGCAAUCUGCUACUUACAGAUGGGCCUGCGGCGCAUUAGCUAGUUGGUGGGGUAACGGCUCACCAAGGCGACGAUGCGUAGCCGACCUGAGAGGGUGAACGGCCACGCUGGGACUGAGACACGGCCCAGACUCCUACGGGAGGCAGCAGUAGGGAAUCUUCCGCAAUGGACGCAAGUCUGACGGAGCAACGCCGCGUGAGUGAUGAAGGUUUUCGGAUCGUAAAGCUCUGUUGCCAGGGAAGAACGCCAUGGAGAGUAACUGCUCUGUAGGUGACGGUACCUGAGAAGAAAGCCCCGGCUAACUACGUGCCAGCCGCCGCGGUAA